rnacentral:rRNA from 1 species
AUGGCAAGCAACAUGAGGGUGUUGAUAUAUUAUACCGAAGAUGUCAUGUUCCAUGCAAUGACCAUUAGCUACAUGAUCGCUGCGAGGGACACAGUUGCAACGGCCCUGACAUGGAUUUUCUACAACCUUGCACAGAACCCUAAUAUUGUGUCAAUCAUGCGCAAUGAACUCUCACUGAUUGCAUCACACAAAGUAGCGGCCCAUCCAGAUGCCAUGGUGAUCUUUAAGCCAGACGAGACCAAAUCUCUCGUUUAUCUGAGAGCUGUCUUGUACGAGACUCUCAGGUUGUACCCACCGGCCCCUCUCGAGCGCAAGAUGGUGGCCGCUAAUGAUAUCAUGCCGAGUGGUCAUGAGGUGCAUGCCGGCGACACUAUCCUUAUUUCUCUCCACUCCAUGGGAAGAAUGGAGGGUAUAUGGGGUAAAGACUGCCUCAACUACAAUCCAGAUAGGUGGCUCUCGGAGGAUGGCAACAAGCUAAGGUACGUACCAUCUCACAAGUUCAUGGCCUUCAACUCGGGUCCGAGGAUGUGCCUCGGCAAGGACAUCGCGGUUAUGCAGAUGAAGACCGUCAUCGCCUCAAUGUUGUGGAACUUCGAUGUGGAGGUAAUGAAAGGGCAAUGCAUCGAGCCUAAGUCAUCUUGUAUACUGGAGAUGAAAAAGGGGCCCACAAUCACAUUAGUUAUGGAAUAA